rnacentral:lncRNA from 1 species
GAUAAGCACAUUUCAUAUAUACAAUUUUGGCAUAGAAAUUUAUUAUUUAUUGAGAUAUGACCAUCAAUUCUUGCUGUGAAAUAUUGAAUAUUUGCAUGAAAAUCAUAUAAAGUAUCAUUUACUAGUCUUUGGUCUAUUUUGCAGAAAUGUGCGCAAAGGCACUAUAAAUCUUCAAGAUCCGGACUAAGUGGCUAAGAGAACGAUGAAGAGGAGCAAGAAUGGACUUGUGCGAGAAGAAACGAAGUAGCCAGGGGGGCAACUAUAGGAGAGAGGAUCUACUUGGGAAGAAAGAAGAAAGGAGGAGGGCCAAAGUAAAAAAAGACAGAUCAGAUCAUGGGGGAUCAAAAUCCCUAGCACGCCUCCAUUCCCCAUCGAGCCUGACAUCUCCAUCUCUCUCCCCCUGACCACUUCUUCUCCCACCUUUGGCCGCUGUCGCGGCCAGGCCAUCGUGGCGGCGCGCCUCCGGACAUCGCUGCUCCACCAGCACCUUCACCCACCAGCACCACAUAAUCCAGACACCACUCCGUCUUCGCCGCCAUCGCCUUGGGCGCUCCACUUUGUUGCCGCGCCUGGCGUGCCCGACCAGACGGGUGUUUGGUUCCCCGCGCCACCUGCUGCUUCUUCCCUCUCCUCAAAUCCUAUUUCUGCUAGACUUCCUCUUCCCUGAACCUCAACUGCUGCCGCUCCUAGUCCUCUCUGAACCACAAACCUGCGGCUGCUCCUAGUCCAUUCUGAAUAACAAAACUGCUGCUGCUUCUCUUCUUCUACUGCGCCCCCUUGCUGAUAUCUCACGCUGCUGCUCCUCUCCUCAUCACGCUGCUGUUUCCUUCUUCUCCUGUCGCUGCUCUCUUCUUCCCUUGCCUCUAGUUGCUGCUCCUAAUCUUCUCUGAACCCCAGCCUGCUGCUCUUUCUUCUCCCUACCUUGCUGCUGCUCUGCCCUCUGCUGCUGUACCUCUCCUUCUCCAACUCGCCCCCUCUGAUCCUCUCCAUCACCUACACCAUCUACAGCUGCAAGCCUGAAGAUUGACUGGGAAUUAAUCUUUGAAUCUCUCCCUUUUCUUGCUACUGUACUCUGAAUUUUCUGUAAUAGGAGUUGUGUAGGACUUGUAAGUUUCAGAUUUUGAUAAGUGUUUGCAACCAACUAGUUUGAUCAGUUCGUACUUGUUAAAUAUCAUGUCAUGAAUUCUAUGUUCUGAAUAGUGGAUUUCUUUUCUUACGAAACUAAGUGAUGUCUAACAUUUUGGCUUUGGUAAUAUGUGUUCUCGGCAUAUAUAUGUGUUCACCCUGUGUAUUUCUUCUCGCUGUACUAGUUAAUUUCUACUAGUAAUUUUUACUUGUUAAAUACUGUUGUGUUGAUCUGUGGGUACUAAUCUUGUGGCUUGUUAGAUUUCGUUUCUGUUGUCUCUUGUGUAACCUUAACCGUGGUGUAGUAUCCUGUUCGCAUAUGUGUGGUUAUGUGUGUUCUGUAGUCCCUGCAUUAGCUAUGUACCUGUGAUAUAUAAAUGUGUGUGUGUGUGUGUUUGAUUUGAAACAAUUAUGUUUUGUCAUAUAUUCUCGCUUCUUCCCUCUGUUUAUGUUUGAUAGUAAUGUGUCCUUGUCUUGUAGCUUUAAUUGAUAUUGACUCCUGUUUGUGUUAGUAUUGUAGAUCCACAAGUAAUACAAAAAUACUAAAAAGACAGAGUAAAGAUAACCUUCAUCUCCCUUUGGUUAUUUGUCAUUUUCUUUGUUGAUGAUCCUUGUUAGUGUUAGGUUUAUUUUCUAUUCUCAUCAUUCAAUUGGGUCACCUAGCUUUAGUCGAACGUAAUUGUCGUCGCCUAGUCCCUGUGGAGAACACGACACUCGUAGUUUGGGCGUAAAAAUCCCGCUACAUUUACAAUUGAUCAUUUUUGGCGCCGUUGCCAGGGACUAGCGUCGAGCGAUUGUGCGAAGCUAUAGACUAGGUUUAGUAUAGUUUUUGUUUAAAUUUCCAGUCAAAUUUAUUUCUGUGUUUCUUUUACCUUUUUACUUUUUGUUGCUUCGGUUUAUUAGGAUACUAACCCUCUCACCAAUGUUUGAUGUUUGUGAGCGUGUGUAGGAUAUCUUAAUAUUUGUAGGCUGAUUGACAGUUGCACUUGAACAUAUGGCUUUAGUACGUGAUCUUUGGUUGCCAAGUAGUUUGGACACGAUGACAGGGCCAAUUUGGCCAUCUAUUGAGGCCGAAAAUUUUGAGUUGAGGCCUGGACUUACUGCUCUCGUCUUGCAGAAUCAGUUUAGAGGAUUACCCAAUGAAGACCCUCAUGAGCACAUUAGUAAUGUUCUGGAGUAUGCCAAUACAGUCCAGUAUCAUGGCGUUUCCAAGAUGCUAUCAAGUGUAUGCUGUUCACAUUCUCUCUCAGAGAUGCUGCUAAGGACUGGUACUAUUCUUUGCCAUCAAGAUCUUACACUUGGGGUGAUAUUUCACAAGCUUUCCUGCACAGAUAUUUUCCACUUUACAAGCAAGCUGCAAUUCGUGACCAGAUCCUCAGUUUUGUGCAAGAUGGAAGUGAGAGCUUGUAUGCAGCUUGGGAGAGAUAUAAGUAUUUGCUUAGAAAAUGUCCUAAUCAUGGGCAAAAGGAUUGGUUAGUGCUCCAGAUAUUCUAUAGAGGGCUGACACAUGCUUCGAGAGAUCUUAUUGAUAUGUCCGCUGGUGGAACAAUCAUGAACAAGAUCGUUGAGGGUGCAAUUAUUCUCAUUGAGUGCAUUGCCUUCCACCAAAUGCAAUGGGGUUAUGAAAGGCCUAGUUCAAAUCCGAAGGUUGCAAGCCAUCUGCAAUCAGAAGUUGUGUGUUCCAUAAGUGAACAGAAAUCAUCCAUGGUGCCUAAUAUUCAAAACCAGCAUGUUCCAUUCCGGGGACAACAACAUUUCAGAGCUGAAUUAGAUCCUCCAUGUAGAAAGAUUGAUCUUACUUCAAGUAUCCUUGAUGAUGAUUAUGAUAUUUUUCAAGAUGAUGCAACCAUUGUAGAUCAGAUGGAAACCACAGUAGUAGAUCCAAUACCUCAUGGCAAUGAAGCUGUCCAGACCGAGUCAAAGUUGCAAGAAGAUGUUUAUGAGGAACCUACUCUGAUUGGUGCUAAGUUGAGACAACAAGAUAUGGAGAAAUUCACUAGUGUUAGUCAACUAUGUGACUGGUGGAAUUUAGUCGUGGCACCAAUUGCCCACACUUGUGUUACAACUGUAUCUGGGAUAUUUGUCAAGAAGAAAUCAUUAGCUCCGCCGGUGGCUGCCUCUAUCUCAGUUAAAGAGAGUAUCUCAGAGAAGAAUAGUGAAGAUGAGAUUCCAACUCCUGCACAUACAAUUAAGCAAGUCGGAGACAUUCCAAGGAGAGAGAUACAAGAGGUUGAGUCAAAUUUAGAAGAGCUGAUACUUCAAUAUCCUGAGAAGAUCCCAUGUGUUGCUGAGCUGCAUGACUGGUGGAAGUCAUCGGUGUCACUGUUGAAACUUAGCAAUGAUGGUGAUGAAGAGAACAUUGCUCAGAAAGACAGCGAGGUAGUGAUCUCAGCACCCCUACCAGAUCAUGUUAGUGAAUAUCCACAGAUGGGGACACUUCAGACUCAAUUAAGUGUUGCUGGUAGUAGCACCAUAGAAGAUCCAGAGGAAGAGAGACCUCAGAUUGAAGAUGUACUCGAAGCCAAGGCACAAGAUGAUCCAGAGUUCGAACAACCUAGUAAUCAAGUUGAAGACUCAUCAUCUACUACUCUUAAAGAAGCAAAAGAAGCUGCUGUAGAUGAACUUGAAGAACCAGAAAUUCAUUUGCCUAUUGUCACACAAGAGCGUGAUGUAGCAGGUUUAUCUAAUCCUCUUAAUGACAUGUCUUCAUAUGAUUUGUUUGCUACUACCUUGCAUUGCAUGAUGCCAUCACUUAAGGUAGAUUUGAAAAACUAUUUGCUUGGACAUGAUCAUACACACCCUGUUAGUGGCAUUGCUCAUAUCUCUAUUCAUGAUACUUAUGUUCCUAAUGCUAUACCCAUGCUUAAUGAAACGUGUGAUUCUAAUACUAGCAUUGAGCUUACUGAUUUGUACCAUCCUAAACAUGUGCUUUAUAGAUAUGCUUAUGUAAUUGGGUGUUCGAUUGAUGACUUGGAGGGUAUUAUCCCUACCACUUGCAUUGUCUCUUUUGUUGAGAGUGCUUUCAGGUUUUUGCUUAUGCACGAUCCAUUACAUGCUGACCAGGUUCGAGGUGACAUUCCUUUGGACCCUGGUGGACUCAGAGCAUGGGGAUGAGGAGAAGCAAGGGGGCACACACGAGGAAGGGAGAAGCUGAAGCAGGCAUGAGGAUAGAGAAGCAAAAGGAGAGGAGCUGCAGUUGGUGUGGUGACCGAGCGAGUGCUACAUCAUCAAAGCCCGGUGAGCUGUUUCAUGACCCAUUCCGAGUAUAUUAUCCAUUGAUACAUGCUGAAAUCAAAUGUUAUUUGGGUUGCUUAAGCCAAGUCUUAAAUGUUGCCCCAUUGAAUUUUAUUUGACAUAUGGUGCUUGAUGAGAAUAUGCGAACUGUUUAUUGAAUGCCAUGUAAACUAGUGAUCUACAUAUUGCUUGCUUUGCUGAAAUUAGUGAAAGUUAUUAGUUUUGAGUGCUCAAAUCCCUAGUACACUAGAAAACUUAAUCAUUUUCUGCUUUUACCUUGAUACACCUAGAUCACCACGUUUAGAUGCUGAAUUUGUGCCAAGUGUCUUCCCAUUGAGAGCAAUCACCUAACCACUAUGGAUUAGCAUGCUAUGUUCCCUGGAUCGGUAGCAUGUGAACCAGACAUGGAGAAGUGAUGAUUCCUGUUUUUGUUCUUAUGCGUUAUUCAUUUAAGAUAAGUAAUAAUGAAUAAAUAAGUCUGGCUACCUACAGUAGCAUGUCAUGUUCCCGGGAUCGGUGGCAUGUGAAAUCAGGUUAGCUUGGGCAGUAAUUAAUUACAAUAAAAAUGUAAUUGUCGAACCAGGUGUAUACCAUGUUCUCGGGAUCGGUGGUAUGUUCCUUUGGGGAGACAAACAAAAAAAGUUAAUAAAAAUUGGUUGAGCCAGGUGUAUACCAUGUUCUCGGGAUCGGUGGUAUGUUCCUUCGGUGAGACUAAUGAAAUAAUAUGUGUGUUUCUUUCAAAUUCAAUAAGUGGUUCACCCACAAAGUCAUAUUUCUGCAAAUAAGAGAUUUAAUUCCAGUUCUUUUUGUUCUCGGGAUCAUGCUCUCUUUAGGAACCAUUUGGCGCAGUCAUCAUUUAAACUUGUUGAUCCUCUUUUAUCAUUGUAAAAGUUUAAAAUGGUCAUGCUUACUAGUAUCUUACCGCUUUGAAGCACUCCUAACCAUUAAUUUGUACUAGCUAAGUCCAAAGCAUGCACUGUUUAGGCAUCUACUUCACUUGGUAUUCUCUAAUCAGCUCACUGUUCACAUUCUUGCUCUUGUCAUAUGCCUUUGCUUGAGGACAAGCAAAAGUUUAAGUGUGGGGGAACUUGAUAAGCACAUUUCAUAUAUACAAUUUUGGCAUAGAAAUUUAUUAUUUAUUGAGAUAUGACCAUCAAUUCUUGCUAUGAAAUAUUGAAUAUUUGCAUGAAAAUCAUAUAAAGUAUCAUUUACUAGUCUUUGGUCUAUUUUGCAGAAAUGUGCGCAAAGGCACUAUAAAUCUUCAAGAUCCGGACUACGUGGCUAAGAGAACGAUGAAGAGGAGGAAGAAUGGACUUGUGCGAGAAGAAACGAAGUAGCCAGGGGGCCAACUAUAGAAGAGAGGAUCUACUUGGGAAGAAAGAAGAAAGGAGGAGGGCCAAAGUAAAAAAAAGACAGAUCGGAUCAUGGGGGAUCAAAAUCCCUAGCACGCCUCCAUUCCCCAUCGAGCCUAACAUCUCCAUCUCUCUCCCCCUGACCACUUCUUCUCCCACCUUCGGCCGCCGUCGCGACCAGGCCAUCAUGGCGGCGUGCCUCCGGACAUCACUGCUCCACCAGCACCUUCACCCACCAGCACCACAUCAUCCAUCCAGCACUCCGUCUUCACCGCCAUCGCCUUGGGCGCUCCACUUCGUCGCCGCGCCUGGCGCGCCCGACCAGACGGGUGUUUGGUUCCCCGCGCCACCUGCUGCUUCUUCCCUCUCCUCAAAUCCUGUUGCUGCUAGACUUCUUCUUCCCUGAACCUCAACUGCUGCCGCUCCUAGUCCUCUCUGAACCACAAACCUGUGGCUGCUCCUAGUCCAUUCUGAAUAACAAAACUGUUGCUGCUUCUCUUCUUCUACUGCGCCCCCUUGCUGAUAUCUCACGCUGCUGCUCCUCUCCUCAUCACGCUGCUGUUUCCUUCUUCUCCUGUCGCUGCUCUCUUCUUCCCUUGCCUCUAGUUGCUGCUCCUAAUCUUCUCUGAACCCCAGCCUGCUGCUCUUUCUUCUCCCUACCUUGCUGCUGCUCUGCCCUCUGCUGCUGUACCUCUCCUUCUCCAACUCGCCCCCUGCUGAUCCUCUCCAUCACCUACACCAUCUACAGCUGCAAGCCUGAAGAUUGACUAGGAAUUAAUCUUUGAAUCUCUCCCUUUUCUUGCUACUGUACUCUGAAUUUUCUGUAAUAGGAGUUGUGUAGGACUUGUAAGUUUCAGAUUUUGAUAAGUGUUUGCAACCAACUAGUUUGAUCAGUUCGUACUUGUUAAAUAUCAUGUCAUGAAUUCUAUGUUCUGAAUAGUGGAUUUCUUUUCUUACGAAACUAAGUGAUGUCUAACAUUUUGGCUUUGGUAAUAUGUGUUCUGUCUUGUGGCUUGUUAGAUUUCGUUUCUGUUAUCUCUUGUGUAACCUGAACCGUGGUGUAGUAUCCUGUUCACAUAUGUGUGGUUUUGUGUGUUCUGUAGUCCCUGUAUUAGCUAUGUACAUGUGAUAUAUAAAUAUGUGUGUGUGUGUGUUUGAUUUGAAACAAUUAUGUUUUGUCAUAUAUUCUCGCUUUCUUCCCUCUGUUUAUGUUUGAUAGUAAUGUGUCCUUGUCUUGUAGCUUUAAUUGAUAUUGACUCCUGUUUGUGUUAGUAUUGUAG